UCUUAACGGAUGAGCAAAGAAAGUGGUUUCUUGAGAUGGAAUCUACUUCUGGUGAAGAUGCUGUGAA
rnacentral:pre_miRNA from 1 species